UACCUGGGGGCUUGCUCCCAGGUGAAAGUGGCGAAAGGGGCAGUAAGGCGUGGGUAACGUACCCUCCGGACGGGAAUAGCCUUGGGAAACUAAGGGUAAUGCCUGGCGACAUAGCGAGGAGGCAUCUUCUUGCUAUCAAAUGAAUUUCGCCGGGGGAGCGGCUCACGUAGUAUUAGCUAGUUGGUAGGGUGAUAGCCUACCAAGGCAAAGAUGCUUAGCGGGUGUGAGAGCACGACCCGCGCCACUGGCACUGAGACACUGGCCAGACACCUACGGGUGGCUGCAGUCGAGGAUCUUCGGCAAUGGGCGCAAGCCUGACCGAGCGACGCCGCGUGUGCGAUGAAGGCCUUCGGGUUGUAAAGCACUGUCGAGGGGGAGGAAAGCCGUAAGGUCUGACCUAUCCCUGGAGGAAGGACGGGCUAAGUUCGUGCCAGCAGCCGCGGUAAGACGAACCGUCCUAACGUUAUUCGGAAUCACUGGGCUUAAAGGGCGCGUAGGCGGAUGGGCAAGUCCGGAGUGAAAUCUUUCGGCUUAACCGGAAAAGUGCUUUGGAUACUGCUCGUCUUGAGGGAGGUAGGGGCAUGUGGAACUUCUGGUGGAGCGGUGAAAUGCGUUGAUAUCAGAAGGAACGCCGGUGGCGAAAGCGACGUGCUGGCCCUCUUCUGACGCUGAGGCGCGAAAGCUAGGGGAGCAAACGGGAUUAGAUACCCCGGUAGUCCUAGCCCUAAACGAUGGGUACUAGGUUGUGGACUUAACAUGGGUUCACAGCCGAAGCAAAAGUGCUAAGUACCCCGCCUGGGGAGUAUGGUCGCAAGGCUGAAACUC
rnacentral:rRNA from 1 species